ACAUGGUGGCGUGAUUACGGGCGUAUAACGUGGCCAGAUGAUGGAACACAUCAUCGUCCGGCGUUUGUGACGGAGUGGAAGCAAACGCUUGGUAAACUGGACAAACCCCCCAACAUUUGGAAAUUGAUGAUGGAAUUACCUGAAUUAGGUGUGUUGUCGAAGGGGUAGGAUGCGACCAACGCACCGGCGUGAAGUCCAGCGGACAAGGUGAAUUGAAUUUUAGCUAUCCAUUCUUUGUAGGCUUCAGUUUCCGGUUGUACACGUUUAGUGUUCUGCUUGAAGUAAUCGGGAAAGUUUCGAUUCAAGUCAAAACCACGGGCGUUGUACCUGUGUCAAGAUUUUAAAACGUAAUCACGUCACGAAAGAAAAAGAUUUUUCAAGACAUGCAACAAAAAAAUAGGGAAAAGAGCCUUCAUCACUAACGCUCGAACAGGUCUCGAGAGAUGGAUAGAUAUGAGCGCGCGUGUGUGUGUGUGUGUACAAGAUGAUGAAUGAUUUGCUCACCUUCCUUGACCACCGGUGCAAGUACCCUCGCGAGCCACUUCGAAUCCGUCUGGAUUGAGACUUGGCAAGAUGUGAAUUCGCGUUUGAUCCAGCAGCCAACGGAUGUAAGCGUCUUCCCUGUAGUUUUUAACCAAAUGCUGGCGAUAUCCGGGAAAAGAGUAAUAAAAACAUAUUCAUUUCGUCAUCAAUCAUCCGAGUGCUGGAUGGUCAAAAAGAAAAUAGGCACGAAUGUUUCUUGUGAGUGAGUACUUACUUCGAUAAGAUGGAGAGCCAUUUCUCUGCUGACGGCCUCGUUACCGUGGAUGUUUGCCACGUACUUGACAUCCGGCUUGCCUUUCAUGUGUUGGAACGGAGAAGACGAUACCACCAUUACCCACAAUUCGCGACCUGCGUGUCAUCAGUCCACCGUUAGUAACGAAACAAGUAGAACGAUAUACAUAGAUGUUAACUAUUGAAACCAGUUCUCAUCGUUUUUCUUUAAGUAUCCGACCUCCAUUACGCAUUCAUUGGCUUUGUUUUUCUUGUUCGAGGCUUCUGUCAACUGACAGCGGGUGAAAACAUUGAACGCAACAGUUGUCUGAUCUUAAAAAAAAAACGGAAACUCGGCAGUUGGGUAGCUUAAAAAAUGGGGAGCUGAUGCUAUCUAGCGUGAAAGUUAUGAAAAAAAAGGCAGCUGCAUAAACAGAGCUUAUAUACAGCAUACAGAAUCACAUUUAUUUGAUUUUUUUUUUUUUUCUCUGCGGGAGACACACAAAGUCGUGUGAGUUUAGGUCACUAGUUUACGGUCGACCAAAUAAAUUUGGCCUACAAAGAAGAAAAGCAAAUUUGUUUUACUUGCUGCGAAAAAAAAAAAAAGAAAACGCUUGAGGUUUAAACGGUGUUGCCGAUUCACAAAAGGAGACUCGAAAGCCAACGGUACGAUGUCAAAGAAACCAACUGUUUGCUGUCUAGCGUGAGAAACAUUUAUUUCCAAUUUGAUUUAUUUCCCGUCUUUUAGCCUUAACUCAUUGACCCUUUACCUCGAGAGUCUCUUCACCUAAGUAUAUAUUAGUAUACGCUAGCAUCUAUAUAACGGGAAUUUGCUUUCUCUAUACUCAGCCAUUCGAAGUGUGCACCUAAUAUAUAUUAUAGAAACGUGGUUAUAGUAUUAGUAUACAGUCGUAGCGUCUAAUAAUUUAUUACAAUAACACCCGAGCGUGAAGCCAGCGUUGCGAGACAAAUGGAUUGAUCGGCACGGCAAUCUCCGUUUUCCCGAUUCGCUGCUGUUUUUCUUUGGCGUGACUGUAUCAUCUUAUCCGUAUCGAUGGCAAAUGAAAAGACACCGUCUGUCAUA
rnacentral:lncRNA from 1 species